rnacentral:rRNA from 1 species
GAUGAACGCUAGCGACAGGCUUUACACAUGCAAGUCGAACGGCAGCACGGGGCAACCUGGUGGCGAGUGGCGAACGGGUGAGUAAUACAUCGGAACGUGCCCAAUCGUGGGGGAUAACGUAGCGAAAGUUACGCUAAUACCGCAUACGAUCUACGGAUGAAAGCGGGGGAUCGCAAGACCUCGCGCGAAUGGAGCGGCCGAUGUCAGAUUAGGUAGUUGGUGGGGUAAAGGCUCACCAAGCCAACGAUCUGUAGCUGGUCUGAGAGGACGACCAGCCACACUGGGACUGAGACACGGCCCAGACUCCUACGGGAGGCAGCAGUGGGGAAUUUUGGACAAUGGGCGCAAGCCUGAUCCAGCCAUUCCGCGUGCAGGAUGAAGGCCUUCGGGUUGUAAACUGCUUUUGUACGGAACGAAACGGCUCUCUCUAAUACAGGGGGCUAAUGACGGUACCGUAAGAAUAAGCACCGGCUAACUACGUGCCAGCCGCCGCCGUAA